UCGGUCAUUUAGAGGAAGUAAAAGUCGUAACAAGGUCUCCGUAGGUGAACCUGCGGAGGGAUCAUUAUCGAAUGGUCUUGUGCCUUCAACCCUCAAAACUGUGGAAGCGACAUGUGCUUCGGCGCCUGAGCGCCGUCUUUAUGCAUGAGUCUGUCUUUGGCGUCUGAAUUGGAGAAUGAAAAACCAAAACUUUCAACAAAGGAUCUCUUGGCUCCCGCAUCGAUGAAGAACGUAGUGAAGCGCGAAAUGUAGUGUGAAUCGCAGAACCUUGUGAAUCAUCGAAUCCUUGAACGCACAUUGCGCCUCCCUUCACAGGGAGGCAUGCCUGUCUGAGCGUCAUUUAAACCAAUAGGCCCCCAUCGGGGGCCCGUGAUGGGUCUCGCACUCCAGGGCGUCGCCUCAAACGAAUCGGUCUAAAGAACGGAAGAGAUCCAUUAGGACUGGCCGUUAACGCAGACCGUGAAUCUCUGAUUUGACCUCAGAUCAGGUAGGGACACCGCCUGAACUUAAGCAUAUCAAUAAGCG
rnacentral:rRNA from 1 species